rnacentral:lncRNA from 1 species
AGGACUAUUUGGAUACUAGUCUAGUUGAGUCAUUUACAUUGAUUAGAAUUAGAACACAGAAGUAGAGUUAGAUACAUAGGAGUCCUUACUCACUCGUUGUCCUCCCACCUAGCUAGCUCACUACCAGUUAUCUUUACUUACCUUUAUCUGACUUAUCUAUUAUUCUAUUUCGCUAUUCUUACCCCCUAUUAGCACUAGUGAACUUAGAUUGAGUAGACAUAAACCACGGAUAUCCAUCCAUAUAUUUAUUAAGAGAGUCUUAGUCCGCUUCCCGUGAGCGAACUAUAAAUUACAACACCGCGGAUACUCACC